ensembl:snRNA U6 U6 spliceosomal RNA
UAGGUCACUAGAAAUAAUGUGUUAAAAUUGGAGCAAUCCAGAGGCAAUUAGCAUGACCCCUGAGCAAAGAUGACUCACAAAUUUGUGAGGCAUUCCAUGUUUUU